AUUUUUAUAUGGAUACCGCGUGUUGCUCCAUUUGAUGAUGUUAAAACCCGAGAUAUAAAUGCCGCCCAUAAUUAGGGUUUCUUCCCUGCUACUCUUCCAUUUCUCUCUGCCGCUCCUUCAUCUGUGAGUCAAUCUGAUCGUCAUCUUCAUCAUAAAGGAUUUCGUUGAUUGUUGAAAUCGAUAAAGAUUCACUCUGUUCUUGGUUCGAUCUAAACAGGUGGAAGAAAAGGAUGAAAUCAAUGGUCGUUUCAAGAUGGGGUUGUUUUCAAGAUUUAAGUUAUAACAGUCUCUACCUGGGAGAUUUAUAUCUUCAUGGAGAGGAAGGUGGCCAAUGAUGCAGAUCUGAGCUAAGACUGGUUAGCAUGUAGCGAAGUUGCACAAAAACAAAUAUAAAAAAUUCCUGAGCCGCAGUCGUUUUUUAGUGCCUCAGCCCUUUUGAGGCGCACAUUCAAUAUAAACCCCCUGAGGUGCCUCAUAAUCGUUUUUUGGGCGUUUCGCCUCGCACGCCUCAACCGUUUUUUAAAACCAAGACCUUGACCAUAAAAUGGUUGUCCAUGAGAUUCAGCUUGGAUUCAACCAAGGCCAACAGAAUUCGUUGUAAGCUAGGUCUUUGAUGCCACUUGCCUCACUCGAGAUGCAGCCAUACCUACUACUGCUAAUAUCCCAAACAAAGCUUGCAAAAGAUAGCGAGAAGCAGUGCCAACCUAUUACACAAUUGAAAUUCAUAAUAGAAGCUUGGUUACUGAUAGUUGAAUGCAAGCGAGUGAUAAAAUGGACUUAUGCAUAUGCGUAUUACCUACCUAAGCACGGCCGCACGGGCAUGCAAAGAGGAAGUUUUAAGUACUUACAAGGUAUGCUGAUGCAUUCAGUAACUUCUGAACAAGGCUGGUUUGACUAGAAAUAAUCUGAGAUUGCGUCUUUGCUGACUAAUAGAAAGGUGACAAUCGGGGUCGGAAGUAACCCAAAAAUCAGAAACAGCAAUGUAGACAGGAAUGCAAAGAUUGGAAGUGAUGUGAUGAUCAUGAAUAAAUACUGAAACAGGGGAGAUUCAGGUUCAGGUAAACCGGCUACUUUGUACAAAUCUGAAAAGAGGCAAGAGUUAAAAGAGGAAGAUUAACUUUGGUUGGAUGUGGAUGGAAAGCAUUUCUUGCAUAUGUGAAUGUUGGAUGUGGGUUCGAUUGCCACUUGGUUCUUUGAUGGCCUUCAUGAUUAACUUUGGUGCUAAGAUUAAACAAUUUUCAAGAAACGAGGAAAAUGCUUACAACAAUUCCGAUUACACUUAAAAAUGGUUAAGCUAGAAGUACCCAUAAAUACGAUAUCUCUUGUGGAGCUUCGAAAAAGUGGUUUGCCCCAUGCUCAUAUGAAUUCCAGCUGCUGUUUAGGUUGGAGAAUCCGGGAUGUUGGCUGUGAUGCUUGAUUAUGGGGAAGUGAUGUUCAAUCCUUCAAUGAAGAAUAUGCCAAGAAGUGCUUGAUGACCAAUUUGUGAGAAUCAAGAAAGGCAACGGCUUGCUAAUGUGUUCUCUAAUAAAAGCUCAAAGUGGAUUAGCAUUUGUUAUAACAAAUGUAAAAGUCAACAGCUUGAUGUAAAGAGCUAUAAAAGUCAACAAUUAUUGCUAUGGAGACGACCAGGAGAGAUAGUCAAGACAGUGGAAAUUACUAAAUGGACGAUUGGAGAAGAAACUCUUGCCAAUCAAAGAUAGGCAUGGCAAGUAUUGCAGCCACAACGAAAAACCAAUUUUGAGCCUAAAUAAUUUAUGAUGUUUGGUUUCUAUUCAUUCUUUGGUAUCAAAUUUGAUAUGCAGAAACUAUCAUAUAUGUUUUGUAUAACUGUUUCAAGUUCAUGAUUUUAUACUAAAACCCAAUUAGUGGUUUGAAACUUGAAAAAAUAAA